rnacentral:lncRNA from 1 species
AGUUUGAUGAUUUCCCUGACAGCACAGCAUUUCUUUGGUUUACCCGAUCCUCUUAUGUUCCAGCCAAGAGUGAUCAUUGAGUGUGAUGACAUUAAACUCAAGUAAUGACACUAAGGCCUGAUGAAAAUAGUUUACUUGCUUGAAAGUAGAAAAUACUACAAAAGAAUAGGCAUGUGAUCUCCAAAAGAGUCGCCCGAAGCAGUCCUGACAACGCC